rnacentral:rRNA from 1 species
UGGGGAAUUGUUCGCAAUGGGCGCAAGCCUGACGACGCAACGCCGCGUGGAGGAUGAAGGUCUUCGGAUUGUAAACUCCUGUUGCCCGGGACGAAACGCCUCGACCUAACACGUCGAGGUUUGACGGUACCGGGUGAGGAAGCCCCGGCUAACUCUGUGCCAGCAGCCGCGGUAAUACAGAGGGGGCAAGCGUUGUUCGGAAUUACUGGGCGUAAAGGGCGCGUAGGCGGCCUUCUAAGUCGAACGUGAAAUCCCCGGGCUCAACCCGGGAACUGCGUCCGAUACUGGAAGGCUUGAAUCCGGGAGAGGGAUGCGGAAUUCCAGGUGUAGCGGUGAAAUGCGUAGAUAUCUGGAGGAACACCGGUGGCGAAGGCGGCAUCCUGGACCGGCAUUGACGCUGAGGCGCGAAAGCCAGGGGAGCAAACGG